GAGGUUUGCACCUGAUGUCCUAACUCUGCAACGAUAUUUACUAUGCAUCUGUUAUCUUAACUAGCAACUGAACAACAACUUUAUUAGCUGGUUUAUCGUUUUACGUUCGAAGAAAAUAUCGUGUCCGAUAUCGUGUCGUAGCUUCU
rnacentral:pre_miRNA from 1 species